UUACAAACUCAAUCAAUAAGGAUGGAAGCACUCGAAGAAAAGGUUGAAGCACUUCUGAAGUUAUCUCAGGUUAUACUUUGCUAUUACAUAGAAUAUGAUAGCGUAACUUAAUAUAUCUUAACAUUUCAAUAAGUUUAAAUUUUUUGUAUUAUUUUGCAGAAUCAAAAUAAGAAUGUAGAGGAUAUGAGUUCACGUGCUUUUACUCCAUAGGUUUUUGUAUUGUAUAUUAUUUUUUCAAUAUAAAUUCAGAUUAUAUCAUACUAGUUUUAAAAAUAGACUUUAUUUUAAUGCGAAUUUGUAGUCUCAACAAGGAAGUGGUAUGGAGGGAGGUAUUGCACCAGUGGAAAAUGGAAAGUGUCAACUAUUGCACUGGUACUUGGUUGAGGAGGAAAUUGUAGGCGAAGGGAAGAUUGCAUCAAUAGACCUAAGUAAAAAUGUGCAUCACGUGCCACUAGGACGAGAU
rnacentral:lncRNA from 1 species